AUACAGAGGGCGCGAGCGUUAAUCGGAAUUACUGGGCGUAAAGCGCGCGUAGGCGGCUUGGUCAGUCGGAUGUGAAAGCCCUGGGCUCAACCUGGGAAUUGCAUUCGAUACUGCCAAGCUAGAGUAUGGGAGAGGGAAGUGGAAUUUCCGGUGUAGCGGUGAAAUGCGUAGAUAUCGGAAAGAACACCAGUGGCGAAGGCGACUUCCUGGCCCAAUACUGACGCUGAGGUGCGAAAGCGUGGGGAGCGAACAGGAUUAGAAACCCCAGUAGUCC
rnacentral:rRNA from 1 species